rnacentral:rRNA from 1 species
UACGUAGGGUGCAAGCGUUAAUCGGAAUUACUGGGCGUAAAGCGUGCGCAGGCGGCUUUGCAAGACAGAUGUGAAAUCCCCCGGGCUUAACCUGGGAACUGCAUUUGUGACUGCAUGGGCUAGAGUGCGGCAGAGGGGGAUGGAAUUCCGCGUGUAGCAGUGAAAUGCGUAGAUAUGCGGAGGAACACCGAUGGCGAAGGCAAUCCCCUGGGCCUGCACUGACGCUCAUGCACGAAAGCGUGGGGAGCAAACAGG